UUAUUUACGAAGGGCAAGAUAAAAAUCCGGAAAUGUGUCGUGUACUGUUAACACACGAGGUUAUGUGCAGUCGCUGUUGUGAUAAAAAAAGUUGUGGCAACCGCAAUGAGACACCAUCAGAUCCUGUCAUUAUUGAUCGAUUUUUCCUGAAAUUCUUUUUGAAAUGCAACCAGAACUGUUUAAAAAAUGCCGGCAAUCCCAGAGACAUGAGACGCUUUCAGGUUGUCAUCUCCACACAAGUGACCGUUGAUGGUCCACUACUGGCUAUAUCCGAUAAUAUGUUCGUACAYAACAAUUCGAAGCAUGGACGCCGCGCCAAACGUUUGGACACCACGGAAGGUACAGGAAACUCCUCCCUGUCCUUAACGGGUCACCCACUUGCGCCUGACAGUACCUAUGAUGGUCUUUAUCCACCAUUGCCCGUGGCCACGCCUUGCAUCAAAGCGAUUUCGCCCAGCGAGGGUUGGACCUCUGGCGGCGCAACCGUUAUUAUUGUGGGUGAUAAUUUYUUUGAUGGCCUCCAAGUGGUCUUCGGCACAAUGCUCGUUUGGAGCGAAUUGAUUACAUCGCAUGCCAUUCGUGUGCAAACACCACCACGUCACAUACCCGGUGUGGUGGAGGUGACUUUAUCGUAUAAGAGCAAACAGUUUUGCAAGGGUUCGCCGGGCCGAUUUGUCUAUGUUUCGCUCAAUGAGCCGACCAUCGAUUACGGUUUUCAGCGUCURCAAAAGCUUAUACCACGUCAUCCUGGCGAUCCAGAGAAAUUACAAAAGGAAAUCAUACUCAAACGCGCAGCCGAUUUGGUCGAGGCCUUGUACUCCAUGCCAAGAUCUCCCGGCGGUUCGACCGGCUUCAAUUCAUACACCGGCCAGCUGGCUGUAAGCGUUCAGGAUACCGCUGGCCAAUGGACCGAAGACGACUAUCAGCGCGCCCAAUCGAGCAGCGUGAGUCCACGUGGCGGCUAUUGCAGCAGCGCUUCUACGCCACACAGUUCGGGCGGCUCUUAUGGCGCUACGGUGGCUGCUAAUGGCUAUGGCCCAACAACCAAUAUGGGUACGUUAUCCUCCUCACCAGCCAGUGUUUUCAACUCCACCAGCMUGUCGUCACCGUGGCAUCAGGCGCUAGUGCAACACCACCACACACAUCCGCACCACUAUCACCACCAUGCGCACCAGCCGUGGCACAAUCCAGCCGCCUCAAUCGCAACCGCCGCCGUGUAGAGCGUUCGGAGCAUGCAGCCCAAGAGUUACGUGCAUUUGCUCUGUGAAAACUUAACGGAGUGAGCGGCCUCAGCUUCAAUCCAUUCACGCUGCCAACGUGCAACACCCAAGGCUAUGGCACCAGCCAACUGGUGACAUCGACCA